UUGUGUUUAGGGUUUGUGGCGAUGGCGCUCGCAGCCUGAGAGGGAGCGGCAAUGGCGGGAUCUCCUCACGACAGCUUUGCCACAGCGUCGGCGGUGGUUGGAGGAAUCCGGGCUCCAAAUCCUCCUGUUGCGUCGCCCAGCCCUGGAAAUGUCCGUGCUUUGCCAAGCUAUCCAAUGCCAGGGUAUUUGCCGCCGCCGGCCGGGCAAGUCCCUGGUCCGAGGUACUCGGCUCCUCCAUUCGCUCCGGCUCCUCGGCCAGCGAUGUUCCCCCGUCCUCCUCCAAUUGCUGCCGGGAGCCCGGCGAGACCACCGGUUGGAGGUAUGCGACCUUUGCCAGUUUUGAAGCCUCCUGGCAUGCCCGACAUGUCCGCAAAGCCGAUCUUCGGAGCUGGUCCAUAUGAGAAACCAUUUACAACGGUCUACGUCGGGAAAAUUGCUCCUACGAUAGAGGAUGCGUUCUUACGGAAUGUUCUCCAGCUAUGUGGACCUAUUAAAAGCUGGAAACGGGCUCAGGAUCCAACAGCAAGCGCUCCCAAAGGAUUUGGAUUCUGCGAAUUUGAAAACGCGGAAGGAGUUCUUCGUGCACUGCGGCUUUUGAACAAGAAUAGCUUGGAUGGGCAGGAGCUAGUGCUUAAUGUUAAUAAGGAUACUCGUGAGUAUCUCGAGAGAUAUGUAGCAGCUAAAGAGAAUGACAAGCUCCUAGAGGAGGCGGCACAGGAAGAAGACAGCGAAACCGCUCCUGGUGUAGAAGUUCAGCCUUCUAAAAAACCUGUCAAGAGUGCCGACGGCAAUCCGAAGGCUUUUGGCAUUGUGAACGAGGCAGAUAAAAAGGGCGAUGAGGAUGCACUGAUUAGAUUGAAACACUUGCUUGAAGAUCGUGCGAGGUCUAGACCUUUGUUCCGACCCCAUGCAGACGGACGCCCUCCUUCGACUCGAGACGCGUCUGCCAAAUCCAAAGAUGCAGAUGUCAAAGAUGAUUUGAGUGGCAAAAAUGACGACGAGAACAGCAGUGACAGGGUGGAAAGAAUGGAAACUAGCUCUUCCGAGAGGGGAAGAAAGGAUAAAGACCACCGGGAGCGCGAGAAUGACAGAGACGUUGAGAGGUUUGAAAGGGACCGGGAAAGGGAGAGGUUUAGACGUGACAGGGACCGCAACGCUAAGCAUCGGGACAUUGAUCGUGCAUAUGAAGAGCACGAGCGCGAGUGGGAAGCUCGCGAAAGAGAACGAGACAGGCAGCGGUUGCAUGACAAAGAGCGCGAGAAGGAAAGGGAACGUGAAAGAAAGAAGGAGGUGAAGGAGCAGGAGGACGAUAGUGACGAUGAAGGGAAGAAGCGGCGUUACAGGCCAGAGGAAAGACGAAGGAGGAGGAUGAGAGAAAAGGAAGAGGAUAUCGCUGAUGCUAUAAGAGAGCAAGAGGAACUUCUCGAGGCAAAGAGGCGUAAGGUGGAGCUUGAGAUGCAGGACGCACUACGUGCUGCGAAAGAGGCUGCUGAAGCAAGCAAGGAAGAUGUCACAAUGGAGAUUGACAGUGAAAAUGAGGAUGGCCCAGCUAAUGAUGACUACGAAGCUACUGCUGGAGAGUCCGCCAAAAGCGACCAAGAGAUGAAAAACAUACCGAAGAAGUUGGGAUUUGGUAUUUCGGGGACUGGAAAACGUGCGACUCUUCCUUCACUUUUCCACCAAGAGGACGAAGAAGAGAUGCCCAAGGAUCGGAUGCUACGUCCUCUUGUUCCUAUCGAUUAUUCUGCUGAGGAGAUGCAAGCAGUAAAAACAAAGAGAUCGCCAUCUGCGGAGGAUGACAGAAAAGAUCGGAGGCACAGGGAUAAAAGCAGAAAGGAUAGAGACCGGGACCGGGACAGGGACGAGAACUCGAAAAUAAUGGAUGCCAAGCAGUUGAUAGAUAGCAUUCCAAAGACAAAGGAGGAGCUUUUCAAUUACAGAGUUGACUGGGCGAUUUAUGAUAAGCAUAAACUCCACGAGAAGAUGAGACCGUGGAUUUCAAAGAAGAUAACCGAGUAUCUGGGGGAGGAGGAAGUUUCCUUCGUCGACUUCAUUGUGAACAACACCUGCAAACAUGUAAGUGCUGAAUCGAUGCUGGAGAAGCUCUCUGUCUUGGAUGAUGAGGCGGAAAUGUUUGUGCUCAAGAUGUGGCGGAUGCUUAUCUUCGAGAUUAGACGCAUUGAGACAGGCCUGGCUAAACCAAACUCCUGAGUUCCCAGUGAAGAGAGCUUCUCUCUGUGUUUUUCGGAGCUCUUGUCAUUCUUGGUACGUUCGCAAGUAAGUGCUGUGAGGACUUCGUGUUAGAAAGGUGUGUUUAUAAAAAGAAAAAAACACCACCUCCAUUUUCUCUCUUCCUUCCUGGCAUCCAGAAAAACAAAGAUUAAACUCUCAAAAUCCCAAAAAGAAUCUCUCCUUUCGCUUUGGCAACACUGCACAUUCGGUUGUCACGGGAGCACGGAAAGCUGGCCAUGGUGGUCCGUGUGCUUCGCUCCUUCCACAAAGAGCUCUAAUUGGGAUACAACUGGUGACAAGAUCAUGUGCACAGGCAAGAUUGGUCAUUCAAGUCACCGCUUUUGGUAUAAAUGCCUGGUUGUUUUGGACAAGGAGCGAGGACCAACCGAAAUCAGUUAGAUCCACUAAACUAUGGUUCCCUCGCAAUUCAAUGCAAAGGAGAGGAGAAGGCAGGCAUGGAGGAGCAGCACAGGGAAGAGGACACGUCCUUUUGGCGGAAAAAAGCUUCUUUUUUUUUUCCCGCUGAUCGGACUCCGUAGGAGAGGACCACACUGAAGUGUCGAGACGAGAGGAGGCGUUAUCGCUUUUUGGAGCUGGCAGGACAGGCUCUAGCAGGGAUGGGCUACAGGUUACAGGGGAAAGACGCGAGAGCUAGUUUUGGAAGGUCCUUGCGACGCUCUCGCUCCCCCUUUUUUUUAAGUUGCGUGCGGAUCUCGCGCUGGUGAAAGUGAGGGGCGGGGGAGAUCAGAGCAGCAUGGUCAGAAUCAUGUGAUCCAGCAGCACGAGCAGCAGCCAGCAGUGGUGUAGAGUGUGAAGGAAGACGAGGAAAUGAUGGGGCCGCGGACGGACCAUCUCCAUCACUCGUAAAGGAGGUGGUGGCGGAGAGUUUUUUUUUGCUUUUCCUCCGACGCGGAUUGCGGGCGCCGAGACUGGGACGAGAAACUGUUUCGCCAAGACCGAAAAGAGUGAGCUUUUUGUCGAAGAUUGACAAAGCAGAGAAGACACAGCAGCAGCCGCAACAGUGGCAGUGGUUACAGUAGCUGGCCAUUGAGAUUUGAGCUCCAGAGUCAACCCCCCUCGUAAAUCUCGCGUUGCGAAAGUUCGACGUCGACGACAACACCAAGUUUAUGCUCUCACUCGUUCGUCAGCGGCAGCGCGGUCUACCUUUUUCUCUUCCUCUUUUAUUUUUAAGACAACGACGACCGCGACUGACUUGACCGAUGCAAAGAAAGGAUUUUGAGGCGGAGAAGAGGACCACAGAAGAUCAAUCCGUAUCUUUCGGAAGUGCCGGUGAUGGCAUCGCAACUUAGUCCACGCUGGUGGUUUGUCCCGACACACAUCAAGCCCACAUCCUCCACGAAGUCGUCGUUUAUGCUCCGGGAUGGGAAUUACGCCGCCCAGACGACUUUGGUGGUGGUCAUAUCAUAGCUGGGGACGAAGUGGAAGAAGAAGAAGAAGAAGAAGCAGCAGCGACGAAGAAGAAGGGAUUAAAAAAACAGAGUCAGGGGAUGGAGAGAGAUCUGUUCAGAAGAAGAUUUAUGAAGUCCACGCGACAGACAGCUAGUAACACAGAGACGGUGAAUCAGCGAUGACGACGGGGCAAAGGCUGAGAGUUCCACUCAAAGUUCACGGCAUUAAAUGGAGCCAAUUCCCGGCGGACAUGCAUGCUUGGAAAGACGAUGGUAAAGGCUGGUGUGGAUGACGAUCACACAGUGGAACCCACUCUCUCGGCCCCAAAAGGCGUGGUACAAUUUCUUCUAACGUCACACAGGCCGCGUGGUUGCUCCUGCGUGGCUUUUCCAAACAAAGCUCGCGAGAAUUUCCAUCGAGGUGGUGGUAAUGUGUUGUGGCUGAGAUCCCAGGAGCAUUCGCUGUCGAGAGAGCUGCGCAAAAGUCAAUGGACAAGAUCGCGAAAAGUUGAUCCAGCGGGGGCACACUCACUCCAGAAUCGAUUGCAGAAGGAAAAUAUUUUCUUUGUGUGGUCGUUUUGUCUUGGUGCUUAUGCCGCCUUGAUGGUUCCGUCCUCGAGCACGCAGAAAGCUCUGGAGGGUGACGGAAGACCAAAAACCAUCAAGGAUAAGUCGGCGUCCAUGCACACGUAGAUUCGCUUGAAGAGGAUACUUGGAAUAAGUCGCCUUGAAUAAAUCAAGUGUGCAUAAACUAAGCAUGGAGGAAAUUCCCGGAUCCUGGAAGUUGGAACAAGGACCUGGAUUUACACUUUAUAUUUAUAUGGUUGGAUGAUGGAUUCGCGAAUCGUAGUAAGACUCUACAAAAUCCAGAGAUCUCUGAGAGAGCAAAGAUGGAUUUUGCUUCGCUCGCCAGCAGCCAGCUUUGUUUAGUCGUCCGCUCUGUAACUUUGGUGUUGUGUUGUAGCCAAAAGGAGCAAGGCCGGGGGAGAGAAGCGACCCGGAGGGCAUUAAAUGGACGCGCAGGCCAAAUGAAUGAGAAUUUUGGGAUGGAUCGAGGAAGCGGAGCUGGCGGGUGAGACGAAAAACUAAACGAGACGAGCGAGAUCGAUGAUGGAAGAAGCAAACCCGACUGGAAACGAUUUCUUCCCAGUCCAAACAAGAACAAGUUAGCGUUUUGC